ACUGGGAUUUUGUAUAUGAUUUUGGGGGGUAGGUAGGGAGUCCCAGUUAUGAAUGAAGGAGACUUGCCAAGGGCAGUGAUGAAGCCUUCGGGUUGGGACACUGGGUACUUCUUUCACCCAGCUAAUGUAUGCCUCUGUGCUGUAUGCAUACCCACUGUGGAGAUGGGGAAGGACUAAAACUUUUAGUCCUGUGAGUAUGAAACAACUGAGAGCUGCUGAUCCAGCCCUUCCGGAUUAAAUAGCAAAGCAUCACACCAAUUCCUUGAAUUGGUUUUCAAGGAAAUCACAAUAUUGUGCAUUACAGACUCAAAGUUUACUCUUUUGCCCACUUCAGUGAGGGUAACUAGAUAUUUUUCUCAGAAAUAUAGACAGGGAACACUUUAAUGGUUUUUCUGAAGGUGAAAGCGCAAAGUAGCAUAUUCUAAGUGAAAACAGAUUAGGCCAUCUUCCUAACAUCUAGCUUUGUGAUAGGGAAAACCAGAGAAGAGUCUAUUUCUUGCACUGUCAUUUCAGCAGCACAUUUGGUGGAGUCAUAACCACAGUGAAACAUUUUUGUGAAAUAAAUGCCUAUAUCCUCUGUGAAUGUGAUUCCAUCUCUGAUUAGUACAAAUGGUCUAUGGGGAAAAGAAGACAAACCAUUUCCAUCUUUCAUGUUGUAUGCAAUCAAUAGCCACUAAGCAUAUGUAACAUCCGUGGAGCACCAGUUUCAGACUCUCCUCUACCCACUCCCUCCACACACACACCCCAAAAAACCUAUGGUAAGUAGCUGUUAAAGACUAUAUGGAAUCAUUCAUUUAAAAACACAAUAUUUUUCCUACAAAGACAUACUUUAUAAACUGCAGAACUUAGACAUCCAGAGGUGCUUAGACUCUUAAAUUGUUAAAAAAAAGAAUGUGGAAAAGAGAGAAAGAGUUAAGAUGAGAAACACAGAUGGAGAAAUAGAGUUAAGAUGCAGGGGAAUAUAUUCAAAGGUAAGAUUAAAAAGAAUAGAGAUGGGAGAACUAUGUAAAUAAAAAAUUGACAUGAGCACUGGUGACCUAGCCUGAUGAGAGAAACAUUUGAAUUACUUCAUAAACCAGAGCUUUUAGCCCAUUCCCAGGGACUCCCAUCUCUCUGCAUUCUUUCCAGCAAAAUGCAUAACUUAAGGCAACAUUUACAGGAUCCUCAUGAAAAAGUUACCUUUAACUAUUGUUCCAUUUCCAUCACUUUAGCAAGUCAAGCAGCUUCCAGCCAUGAUUUUUUGCUCAAUGUUGGAAUUUUUCAGUGUGAAAUCACUUAUGAAAACAUGGGAAUUCUGCCAAAAGAGAAUGGCAGAAGAUUCAAAAAGACAUUUCUGAAUUUCCAUGAGCAGAGGACCCCUGGAUCCUCCUGGGAAACUUAAAUGACCCUUGGGGACUGAAAAUGAAGUACCCCAAAACUCCUGUUGUGAUGGGGAACUGCUCUCUUGGUGGGCAGCAAAGAGGCCACAUUCUCACCUCCUACAUUGAAAAUCAAAGUUAGUGAAAGACGUGAAUUGUAGCAUCUACUCACAAAUCAAAACACAAACCUGGUGAUUCAAACUUGCUCCUUCGCUCAACUAAUAGUCAAUUUCUUAUAUAAUUACUAUCUCUGGCUCCUAAAGAGCAAUUUAGCCUCUCAUUCCUUUUCUAGAAUGCAAUUGGAUUUUUCUGAGGCUAAAAUUCCCAUUCUUUAAAGCAUCAAUAAAUGGUAAAAUACUUCUCUCCAUUUCUAAAGUGAAGAAAUCUGCAGAUGGACUUACUGCCUGGCUCAGACUCAGCUCAAAUUAGGGGGAGAUUGCAGAGGAGAAAAUCAAGCUUCAUUUGUCAUGGUUUUAUUUUAGUUGGCUUAUUAGACCCAUAAUAAUCACUUCUAGGUCAUAAUGUUAUUUGCAACACAAAACCUAGCUGGUUUCUUUCCCAUGAAUGGUAAUUAUUCUACCUUUUAAGGGCCUGAUAUGAACUUUAAAGAGGUUUACCAUCCAAUUAUCUCUCUUGCAAGGAUUUGGGGAUUAUUCAAAAGAACAAAAGGUGUGUUCUCAUUUAUUACAGCAAGGUCCUUAGGUUGCAGCUGAUUCUCCUAAAGAAGGCUAAGGCUAUUUGAUACUAACCGAAUCACAAGAUCACGUGAGUGGAGGACAUCAGAUUUUGCAGUGUCAUGCUGAGCCACAUCUGACUAUAGAUAAAAUGAAGGUUCCUGUGGCCAGGAUUCUCGCCUGACCCUGGUUGGCUAGCUCACUACACACCUGUGGGCAAUAUGUUGCUAUUGACUCUACAUAAAGAACUCUGACCAGUGCUCUGGGCAAUAUGGUGGUGGCAGGGCUGCAAGGCUGCAGGAGAGCAGAGCAGAAGCUGUAGUGGUGGCAGCGCCCAGGACAGGGGCCUAGAGGACGGCUGUGGGGGCAGAGAGGCCCAGAGGCAGAGACUGGCUUGCUGCAUGCAGACUCGCUCUGAGUGAACGAGAUUUUAGUGAUUGACCUGCCACUGUGGAAAUAAAGUUGAAUAUAACUCUUUCACCCCAAGUAUGUUUUACUGUCAUUUUCUUUGGUCACAUCAAACCCAUAGCGAACUUGCCCAGGGCUGAAACCCAUUGGCAAGACAUGC